GGCGAGAUACUCAAGUGGUCAACGAGGGCAGACUGUAAAUCUGUUGCGUAAGCUUCGUAGGUUCGAAUCCUUCUCUCGCCA
rnacentral:tRNA from 1 species